rnacentral:lncRNA from 1 species
GGGCUGGGGGAAGAGAUGGAUGUUUAUUUAAUGCAGAAAAACAAAAAAAAAAGCAAUAAAAAAUUCCAAAAAAAAAAAGCUUAAAAAUAAUAAUAAAAAAAAAAAAAAAGAAAACAAAGAAGUCUUAGCACUUUGCGAUGGAACGGGUACUUUGAGCUCACUUUAUCUUAAUUUAAAAAAAAAGCAAGAUUCAAGAUGUUUACAAGUCAAAAAAAAACUUUAAAAAAAAAGACUUCUACGGAGAAAAAAAAAUAUUAUUAAAAAAAGCCUAAAUUUAUUUUUGUAAGAAAAAAAAAUGUGUAUAUAUAUAUAUAUAUUUAACAAAAAAACCUAGAAAAAAAUACAAAUAUAGGCAGAAUCCAAGUGAGAUUGGAGGAUGGGAGGAAGAUGCUAAUUAGGUUCUGUGACAUGCCCUGACCCUCGGGAAUUUUAAAUAGAAAAUAAAAUCCAUGGAAGCUUGAAUUUUAGGCAGGAAUCCUGGGGGUUGUGGCUCGCUCACUGCUCCCCACAGCCUCGAGGAGGUUGUUUGUUUGUUUGGGUUUUUUGGGGUUUUUUUUUAAAUUCUUUUUUUGUAGAAAUAAUUUUAUUUUUUUUCGAUGUUAUUUUUAGCCAGUGCCAGCGCAGAGGUGUCGGGAUCCCUGUGGGCUUGGAAAAAUCCCACCUGGAGCAGGGAGAUUGGGAUGUCAGCUGGGAAAUUGGGAUUUGGGCAGGGAGAUUGGGAUGUCAGCUGGGAAAUUGGGAUUUGGGCAGGGAAAUUGGGAUAUCAGCUGGGAAAUUGGGAUAUAAGCUAGGAAAUUGGGAUCCAGGCAGGGAAUUGGGAUCUAGAUUGAGAAAUUGGGAUCCGGGCAGGGAAUUGGGAUUUGGGCUGGGAAAUUGGGAUCUGGCCAGGGAAUUGGGAUCCAGGCAGGGAAAUUGGGAUCCAAGCAGGGAAUUGGGAUCUAGAUUGAGAAAUUGGGAUCCGGCCAGGGAAUUGGGAUCUGGGCAGGGAAUCCCCCUGGGAAGAGCUGGAGGGACCCAGGUCCAGGCUGCCUUUGGGGUUUUCCCCCCCCUGGGUUUGGAUCUCUCCAGGGAUGUGGCAGGGAUUUCCUGGGAAGGAGCUGGAGGGAUCCCAGAGCCCCGGGAUUUGUGUCCCUCCCGUUCCCCCUUUGGGCAGGAACAUCGGGAUCCCCGUGGAUCCCCAUCCCUCCCUGAGCAGGGUUUGGGAUCUGGGAGUGGAUCCCCCCCGGGCAGGGGCCGAUCCCAGCUGGAAUCUCCCCUCUGGCAGCACCGGCUGAGGUUUUUUGGGAAUAUGCAGAGAAAAUUCCGUGUGGAUUUGGGAACAGAGGCUCUGGAGGUUCCCCUUGUGCUCGGGGUUCUGGUGGCUCCUCUCCUCCUGAUUUUGGGGUUUUUUUUUCCCCCCUGGGAUUUUUCCACCCUCGCUGCUGCUUUUCCUUCCCCAAUCCCAAUCCCAAAGGAAUUUUGGGGGCUCUGGGAGGGGGUGAAGGGGGUGGGAGCUUCCAGGUGUGCAGAGAAAGGGGGGAAAAGGGGAAGGAAAAAAAGGGGGGAUUGAUAAAUUAAAAAAAGGAAAAAGGGGGAAAAGGAAAUAGGAGGGGAGAAAUAAAAGAGGGAAAUAAGGGAAGGAAAGGGGGAGA